rnacentral:rRNA from 1 species
AUAUUUAGUAUUUUUUUAAAAAAAAAAUUAUUUAUUAAAAUUAUUUAAUUGUUUAAAUUUUAAAAAAUUUAUUUUUUUUUGAUUUGUAAAAUUAAUCUAAUAAAUUUUUUUAAAGAAAAUUUUUUUAUUGUACCUUUUGUAUCAGGGUUGAUUAAUUUAAUUUAAAAAUUUAAUUAUCUCGAAAAUUUAAGAUUUUAAUUUUAUUUGUUUUUAGUUGUUUCAAAAAUUUUAAUAAAAUAAAUUAAGCUUUGAAAUGAAAAUCGUUUAAUUUGAUAUCUAGUUAUUUUAUAAAAAAAUUUAAUUUUGGAUUUCUUUAAAGGUUAAUUUUAUUCUUUUUUAAACUUUUGAUAUCUAAAUUAAUUUGGGUUAAUCUAAAUUAAAUUUUAUAAUUUUUUUUUUAUAUAAAGAAUUUAUAGGAUUAAAAUCUUUUUUUUUUUAAAAUUCGUUUUAGAUUAUUCUUUAAAUUUAUUAAAAAUUUAAUUUUUUAUAAAAUUUUAUUUUAAAAUUUUUUAAUUUUAAAAUAAUGAUUGAAUUAGUAAAUUUUAAUUUUUUUUUUAUGAAUUCAGCAUAUAAAUUUUUUGUUUGUUUAACAAAAACAUCUCUUUUAGUCAUUUUUAAAAGUCAAACCUGCUCAAUGAAUAUCAAUUUAAAUAGCUGCAGUAUUUUAACUGUACAAAGGUAGCAUAAUAAUUAGUCUUUUAAUUGAGGUCUGGAAUGAAUGGUUUAACAAAAAAAUAACUUUAUUAAUUUAAUUAGUUUUGAAAUUAAUUUUUUAGUUAAAAAACUAAAAUAUUUAAAUGGGACGAUAAGACCCUAUAGAUCUUUAAUUUUUUAAUAGAUUAAUUUUAUUUAGUUUAAUUAAAUAAUUAAUUUUUAAAAAAUUUUAAUUGGGGUGAUUAUUAAACUUUUUUAACUUUAAUUUUUUUUUACAUUCAUUUAUGAUUUGUUGAUCUUGAAUUUUUGAUUAAAAGAAUAAGAUACCUUAGGGAUAACAGCACAUAUAAUUUGGAUAGUUCAUAUUGAUAAAUUUUAUUUGUGACCUCGAUGUUGAAUUAAUUUAAACUUUUAGAGCAGAAAUUAAAAUAGUUAGGUCUGUUCGACCUUUAAUAAAUUACAUGAUUUGAGUUCAAACCGGUGUAAGCCAGGUUGGUUUCUAUCUAUUUAAAAAUUCUUUAUUUAUUUAGUACGAAAGGACUUUUAAGUUAGAAAAAAUUUCU